rnacentral:rRNA from 1 species
AGAGUUUGAUCAUGGCUCAGGAUGAACGCUAGCGGCAGGCCUAACACAUGCAAGUCGAGGGGCAGCACGGAAGUUGGCAACAACUUUUGGUGGCGACCGGCGCACGGGUGCGUAACGCGUAUGCAACCUACCAUCAACAGGGGGAUAAUUCGGAGAAAUCUGGUCUAAUACCCCAUAAUAUACUGACCGGCAUCGGUUGGUGUUGAAAGCUCCGGCGGUUGAUGAUGGGCAUGCGUUGUAUUAGUUAGUUGGCGAGGUAACGGCUCACCAAGACUACGAUACAUAGGGGGACUGAGAGGUUAACCCCCCACACUGGUACUGAGACACGGACCAGACUCCUACGGGAGGCAGCAGUGAGGAAUAUUGGUCAAUGGACGCAAGUCUGAACCAGCCAUGCCGCGUGCAGGAAGACGGCUCUAUGAGUUGUAAACUGCUUUUAUACGAGAAUAAACCCCGGUACGUGUACUGGGUUGAAGGUAUCGUAGGAAUAAGGAUCGGCUAACUCCGUGCCAGCAGCCGCGGUAA